ACGAGACAACGGGUGAAUUCACGGCACGAACAACAAGCGGCCGUCAGGAUGUGGGCGACAGGGCUGCGGGUCAAAGCGUCUCAAACAUCUUUUAUUCCUUCAUCUAACGGAGGAACGGGCUGGGAUUACACGUUUCACCACCACCUCGAGAACAAUAAUGCGUGCAGCACGUUGGUCUCGUCGUGCAGAGAAACGUUUGAACGUGAGGAGAGACUGGAAACAACCAGAGGCCUCUUCAUCAAACUAACAAAGUCCAUGCUCAA